UACGGAGGGAGCUAGCGUUGUUCGGAAUUACUGGGCGUAAAGCGCACGUAGGCGGCUUUGUAAGUUAGAGGUGAAAGCCCCGGGGGCUCAACCCCCGGAAUUGCCUUUUAAGACUGCAUCGCUUUAAUCCGGGAGAGGUGAGUGGAAUUCCGAGUGUAGAGGUGAAAUUCGUAGAUAUUCGGAAGAACACCAGUGGCGAAGGCGGCUCACUGGACCGGCAUUGACGCUGAGGUGCGAAAGCGUGGGGAGCGAACAGG
rnacentral:rRNA from 1 species